rnacentral:misc_RNA from 1 species
GAUGAAGAACGUAGCGAAAUGCGAUAAGUAAUGCGAAUUGCAGAAUUCAGUGAGUCAUCGAAUCUUUGAACGCACAUUGCGCCCUUUGGUAUUCCUUAGGGCAUGCCUGUUCGAGCGUCAUUUAAACAUUCAAGCUAAGCUUGGUGUUGGGUGACUGUCCGCUUCACGGCGGACUCGCCUCAAAAUUAUUGGCGGCCGGUACAUUGGCUUCGAGCGCAGCAGAAACGCGAACUCGGGCCCGUCGUAUUGGCUCCCAGAAGCUAUCUUCACAAUUUUGACCUCGGAUCAGGUAGGGAUACCCGCUGAACUUAAGCAUAUCAAUAAGCGGAGGA